UCAGCAGACAUGCAAGGCCAGUCUAGCGAAAAAUACAUUAAAAACGGUAAUGCUUUUUUGUAUAAUAUUUCCUUGUGUAAUGUGUCAUCCAAAGUGGAAUAGUGCAUUAUCUCAACUGCACUUUAAACCUUGAUUGUUUUUACCUCGAUCUAUUCUGAAUGCUAAUGAUAUAGAAAAUAUGAGUUAUUUCACAACUUCACAACUGUUUAGAUCAAACGUCUCGUAGCUUUCGAUACUAUUACACAUUGCAAAUGGCAAUGUCUGCUUGUGUCGUCAAAUUCAUAUUUUUUAUUUCGAUUUCUAGAGUAUUUUCUAUUGGAUCAAGAGAUGUACCCUAUACCUUACAAAAGAGCGGAUCAACUUCUGAUGACUCCGAUACAUCAUUUGGCGGGCAUCUUACCUUAAACAAAAAACAGAAUAUUAACUUCAGUAGCAGUGCACAGUUCCUUACCAAUAGUGAAGAAUUUACAACGACAGAAUCUAGUAUCACUCUAAAUUACACUAAAAAUUUAAUGACAAUCCUCACCAUAUGACGACGAGGAAAAAAAAACUCAGCACCCUCUUCAGAAGAAAUAAAGUGAUUUAAAUUUCAACUUUCAAGAGAGAGAGAGAGAGAAAGAGAGAGAGAGGGGGGGCAACAACACAAUUUCUAAAACAUUAUUUAAUUUUUGAAAAGCGUUCAGGACAUUGUUCUGUUUUUUAACUGCUGCAUAUUUUUAUAUCCAGUCCGCAAGUGCAUUUCCUUACAUUGUGUUGCAAUGCAAGAACGUUU